rnacentral:lncRNA from 1 species
UCUGGAGGCAGCUAGGCAGUCAAAGACACUGGAACAGACCAGAGAGAAAAACACAAGCAGAUCCAGGGAUACAGAGACACCCGCCUGGAGAAGCGCACUUAAAGCCUAUGCAAGUUAAACGAGAGGGACAACAUGUUUCGUACAUGUUGUUACAGUCUUCAGUAACUUGUACUUAAUGUGCCAUGUCCACCAAUACUAAAGAACAUUUUACCACCUGAGGGAUAAUUUUAAUAUCAUACGAUGGGGAGCCCAGGAGGUGAGGAAGAAAGGGAAAUUGCACAGGAGCACGACAUUCUGGAGAGAAAAUAUGGCCUUUUCCCUGUUAUUGAAUAAGGCUUUUUUGGGUCUCUUCAUCAUGGCAUUGUCUGGUUUCUCAGAUGUUUUAAAUUGGAAAACUCCUAAACCAAGAAAAAAGAUUAACUGUCUUCGGUUUAUAAAAGAAUUUUAUGAGGGAAUUGAGAGAAUAAGAAAAUAUUGCCUAUAUACAGUUGAUCCAGUAUGUUCACUUAACAAGACCACUUAUGGAAACCAAUGUGCAUUCUGCCUAAAAACAGAGGAAACAAGCAAUUUCACAAAAACAGUUUGGGAAGCCUAUUAUGGUGAAUGCUGACUUUUUUGAAUUCCCAUACGAUGACAUCUGGCCUCAACCCUUCCCUGUUGCAUGUUCCUCAAGAGAACUAUUAUUGUCAACAUUUCCCUAGAAAUUUUCUUAUGAUUGUAACU